AAGCCAAUGAGGAUUUAUGUUUUAGUUGGAAUUACCGACUGAAUAUUCUUUGAUGAAAAACGACUGGCUUUCUGAGGCUUCAG
rfam:Prunus persica cultivar Lovell chromosome G3, whole genome shotgun sequence.